CAAUCUGCCCAAUGAAUAAUUUAAAUGGCUGCAGUAUAUUUAACUGUACAAAGGUAGCAUAAUAAAUUGAUUUUUAAAUGAAAUCUAGAAUGAAAGGAUUAAUGAAAUAUAUACUGUCUCAUAUUUAUUAUAUGAAUUUAAAAUUUUAAUAAAAAUGUUAAAAUUUUUUUAUGGGACGAUAAGACCCUAUAGAAUUUUAUAUUAAAUUAGUUUUAUUUAUUAAUAUGAAAUAUAAUUUAAUAUUUAAUUGGGAGAAUUAUUAAAUUUAUAAAAUUUUAAUUUUUUAUAAACUUUGAUUUAAGAAAAUUUAUUGAUUUAUAAUUUAUAAUUAUUAGAUUAAAUUACCUUAGGGAUAACAGCGUUAUAUUUUUUUAUAGAUCAUAUAGAAAAAAAUGAUUGCGACCUCGAUGUUGAAUUAAGAUAAAUUUUAAAUGCAGAAGUUUAAUAAUUAAGUCUGUUCGACUUUUAAAAUCUUACAU
rnacentral:rRNA from 1 species